CCCUUAGAUGUUCUGGGCCGCACGCGUGCUACACUGAGUGGAUCAGCGGGUCAGGUUGCGCGAAAGUGUUUCCUAAUCUUGAAAUCCGCUCGUGAUGGGGAUUGACGGUUGCAAUUUUCCGUCAUGAACGAGGAAUACCUUGUAAGCGCGGGUCAUCAUCCCGCGCUGAAUACGUCCCUGCCCUUUGUACACACCGCCCGUCGCUCCUACCGAUUGAGUGGUCCGGUGAGGCUUUGGGAUCUGAGCAAAGAGAGCGUUUCGCUCGUUUUGCCCGGAAAACUCAGUCGAACCUCAUCAUUUAGAGGAAGGAGAAGUCGUAACA
rnacentral:rRNA from 1 species